AACGAACGCUGGCGGCAUGCCUAACACAUGCAAGUCGAACGAGACCUUCGGGUCUAGUGGCGCACGGGUGCGUAACGCGUGGGAACCUGCCUUUAGGUUCGGAAUAACUCAGAGAAAUUUGAGCUAAUACCGGAUGAUGUCUUCGGACCAAAGAUUUAUCGCCUUUAGAUGGGCCCGCGUUGGAUUAGCUAGUUGGUGGGGUAAAGGCCUACCAAGGCGACGAUCCAUAGCUGGUCUGAGAGGAUGAUCAGCCACACUGGGACUGAGACACGGCCCAGACUCCUACGGGAGGCAGCAGUGGGGAAUAUUGGAAAAUGGGCGAAAGCAUGAACCAGCAAUGACGCGUGAGUGAUGAAGGCCUUAGGGUAGUAAAGCUCUUUUACCCGAGAUGAUAAUGACAGUAGCGGGAGAAUAAGCUCCGGCUAACUCCGUG
rnacentral:rRNA from 1 species